rnacentral:lncRNA from 1 species
GCCCCUUAUUCUGUGAUAGUUGAAAAGCUAAUUGCACAAUUUCAACAGUUUCACGGCGCAUCCUGUACUGUUUUUGGGCACAUAUGGCUAUGAAGUCAUUCAAAUUCCAUUUAUCAUUCUGAGCAUUGUAAGCAACCUUAAACUAAUUAAACUUGUUAGGAAAGUUGUUUAAAACAUGGUAGACCAAGAAAGGCUCCACAAUGGGAAUGUUAAGAGCCUUUAGUUUAUAUGAUAUAUUUAUCAUUUUCAUGACAUGCUCUCUAACACCACUUGUACCAUCAUAUUUUAUAUUCAUUAAUUUAUCCAUAAGAUCCCUAGUUUCGGCUUUAUCAAAAUAAAAAAAUUCUCCUAUGGCAUUCAUAAAACUUUUAGCAUUUUCAUUAUCGGGGAUGACACCUAGAAUGGAAUCAGAUAUCAAUCGCUUAAUGAUUUUCAAAUAGAGUUUCUACUUUUCAUACUCGACUACAUAUUCAACCAUACUCUUAUUUAUGGAUUUCUCAAUCUUUUUCUCCAUUGCAAAAUUCAAGCCCAAAAGACCAAAUGCUAUUUCUACGUCUCAUUCCAUCUCACAUAGUUAUUCCCAGUCAAGGUUUCAAUAGUACUCUUUCCCACAUUUCAUCAUCGACUACAUAUUCAACAGUACUCUUAUUUGUUGGUUUCUCAAGCUUUUUCUACAUUGCAAAAUCAAGCCCAAAAGAUCAAGUACUAUUUUUACGUCUCGUUUUCAUUUCACAUAGUUAUUUACAAUCAAUGUUUCAAUAGCAGACAAUUGAUUCGAAAGAGAUGAGGCAUUAUAAACCGUAGAAACAUAAAAUAUCACACUCAAUAUCAUCCAAAU